CAAAGAAAUGGAAACUAAAGGGACAUCCCUCAAUUUGGGAAUGGCUGAACAAAUUGUGGCAGAUGAUGGUGACAGAAUACUAUUGUGCUCUGACAUAAACAGGAGGAUGAUCUCACAAAGAGUUGGAAAGACCUACAUUAAUUGAUGCACUGAAAUGAACAGAACCAGGAAAACAUUAUAAACAGUAACAGCAAUAGUGUGGAAUGAUCAAAUUUGAUAGACUUAGCUGCUCUCAGUGAUACAAUGAUUCAGACAGCAUUUUAGAUAGGUAGCCACAAACACAGAAAAGAUGUAGGAUGACAGGGGAUGGAAGAAAUAAGUCAGGGGGUUUUGAGGAUAAGCCUGAAAUAUGUUUCUUUGCAGGCAGUAGGGAAGGAGUCAGCAGACAGAGACUGAGAAUAAGUCAGAGUGUGGGGACAGAUUCCAGUUCCAUUGCCAUGUGGACCAUUUCAACUAUUUCAGGUCCUGAGCUCUGUGGCUCUCAGGCUCAGGCCAAACACUCAGCCAAUAAAAGAUCACAGAGCACUUAUGAUAUGUCACAUCACCAAGGUAACAGGAGGGAUGGUGAUAAACAAAGGGUGGAGCCUGGGGAGAUCAUUUCUGAAAAGAAAAAGAUGAGUGAUAAAGUAGAGAACAAGGAAUACAAGAUGAAAGCAUGUGAUAGCUCUAUUGUGAAUUGACUGUAUGUUCAUCAAAUGAGAGAACAAAUGGAGCACUUUCAAAAUCAGAAGAAGCAAAGCAAUAAAGAAGUACUGAAUUUUCUGGUGAUAAACUAA
rnacentral:lncRNA from 1 species